UAGCUGUCAUCUCAUCAAACGCAUUUAGUUGGAAGUCAGACAAGUCGCACAUAAUUAAGAUUGGGGAGAAACGGAACAGCUAACAUGACUACAAUGGUGACGGUGUGCUUUGGCCUCAUUCUCAUUGCCAUGCAGUCUGUAUUACAGGUCCACGCACAGAUUACUACGAAGUCUCCGACCGUGACUACUAAAGCGGGUGUGACUUCCAUCGUGAACACUACCACCGCCAGCCCCAAAGGAGACUGUGCUUCCUUACAUUUCAGUUCUUUCACGCUCUUUAUCCCUAUGGCGGUGGUUGUUGUACUACAGGGACACGUCUAGAUCUUCUCUGCACUGAGCAUUGCCAAGACUAACCCCGGCCUUUGACGCACAAACCAAAAGCCACGUUAUCUGCCGGGAUGGCUCUGGGAGGGUUCAGUCGCACGAGCACACAUUCAUACUUAACCGAGCAUUCAUUUACGGUUCGUCCCAAAGAGUUUCCUACACUAAUUAAAAUAUGGUAGGAUACUUGAGCGGACUUGAAGGCGACUUUGUCUUCUGCACUUUAUUUUGGAUGUCGAAAUCAACAGUUGUGUGAAGCGCUUUGUGGAAAUCAAGUGCAAUUUGUGGCAUGUCCUUGUUUACUCAUGCGACAGCAAUGGAUGUUUGUCAGAGCAUUAGUAGCCUGCAGGAGAACUGCUUUUAUAGAUGUAAUUGCAUGUGGUUUCUGUUUAAUGAUUUGUAUGCCUAUUGGUUUCAUACUUGAGCAUUCUUGAACAUUAAAAUAUGAUCUUGUA